rnacentral:lncRNA from 1 species
GGACUUCAAUGUUCAUUUCCACGUUGUUCCCAACCCCGAUUGAUCCCAACAAUAAAUCUUUCAAAACGGAAGUACUAUAUCAAUCAGAUUCUAGAGGUUCGACCGUGGUCAUUGCCGACACCAGUUUUCUUGUUUGGGGGUGGUUGUUGUUAUGGUUGUUGUUGUUGUUGUUGUUGUUGUUGUUGUUGUUGUUGUUGUUGGCUACAUUUUCAUGAAAUGCUCUUCUGGGCCCUUACACCCAAACGACCAUAUCAGUAUUAAUCUGUCUUGAAAUUGCUAAGGGUUUGUGCAAAACAAAGACACAACCUUCACCUCCUUCUAACCCGGGUUGUUUUGCUUUUGGAAAAAUUCACAGGGCAAUUGGGUAUUCAGAGAAACCGCCCCAUGACUGACUAACUCGCCAUGGGAUCAGCCAAGCAAAUAGGGGGAAAUCUGGCUUCCAUCAGUGAGAUACUGGCAAUCUGGGGGAGUGCAGGGCUGAAGGGACAGGAAGAGACAGGGCAUCCAAGUCAGCGAUCCUAAAGGGGAGGGGACUGAAGGCUCACAUGUUCUCAGGGCAGUUCCACCUCGGAUCCUGGAAGUUCUGUUGGGAGUUGCAUUUACUGAGUGUCUCUAACCCCCUGUAAGUUUCCAGCUUUGUGGUAUUCUAACCCACCAUGGCACACCAGGGGCCACCAAGCUGCAGAGGCCAGCCAGCACUGCACAGGAGCCAUUUAAAAUUCACCUAUCUCCAGUGAUCAUUAAGUCCGGAGCUUGGUGAGUGUUUUUAGAUUCUCCACUUCAGGUUGUCUGCCCACAAGAAUCUCACAGCAGCACUGAUCAUGUAAGGCUGUGACCACUCAUUUACUACCUAGGCGCUUCUAACCUUUGUCCAGCAGACAGCUACUCUGCAGUGUUUUCUGGGCACCCACAAUGCCUCUUUGAUGAAGUUGGGCUCAGCCUGCCCUUCUGUUUUCUGUACUUGGAAGACAUGUCUGGGUAGUGGGAAAUAAACCAUGAGGACUUAGUGAAAGUCCGAGUCCUCCUUCGUAGUCUGAAUUAUAUUCUCUAGAUUAGUAUUCCUUUCCAGUCCCAGCAUAACAUAACAUGUGUUUUCAAUAUUCCAAUUCUUUCUUUAAUGGUUUAAAAAUAUCCCCCGUAUGAUCUUUGCCUUUUUCCUACAUUACAGACUUUGAUGUCACUUUGGUUGGAACUUUACAGAAAGGCAUAUAACCCAGUUUGGGUAUAUGUCGGAAGCUAGUCUCUCUUUCCUCCACUAACACAUACAAUCGUUGAUGGGGACCAUCAACCCCAUCAGACUAGGACUGUGCACUUCAUCCUUGUGUGUGUGCUAUUUACCUUGUCUUGCCUUCGAGUUAAAGAUACAAAUAAUUCACUCAGAACUUGAGAAAAAGUCAAAUGGAAAGCAGUGUUCGUGGGGCCUCAGCAGCAGCAGCUUGGAAAUGCCAGCAAGUAAAGCCAUGGGCACUUGCAGCCAAGGUAGAUGGAGCAGCUGUUUUGAGAGAAGAUUGCUAAGCCAGCUGUUAUUCUCAUUGGCACGAGAAGGUGCCAAUCACCACCCAAACUGUGGCAAGCAAAUGCCAGCACCUGAGGAACGGGCCCCUUCACAUGCCAGCUAGAAAAGGGCGUCCUUGUUCUCCUGUGUCAAAACUGUGUCUACAAUUAGUUACAAGCCCUCUCCUCCCCGACCCCACCUCCAUUCUCCCAUCAGAGGGUAGAAUGAGAAAGGACUCUGGGGUAGGGGUUGCUUCCCCUUUCAUUUUACAUUGCUAUCCUCAAUAAUUGUGCUGUCUUAUCUAAAUGUUGGUUGUGGCCCAGGGAGGCACAUUGUGCUUGUUGAUUAAUGGUGCAGGCAUAAAGACAGAGGAAGACAACUAAUUCCUCAUCUGAGGUAGCUGAGGGUCACAAAGAGUUCUGUGAACUGGAGGUGUUGCUG